UAGGGAAUCUUCGGCAAUGGACGAAAGUCUGACCGAGCAACGCCGCGUGAGUGAAGUAAGGUUUUCGGAUACGUAAAACUCUGUUGGUAGAGAAGAACGUUGGUGAGAGUGGAAAGCUCAUCAAGUGACGGUAACUACCCAGAAAGGGACGGCUAACUACGUGCCAA
rnacentral:rRNA from 1 species